rnacentral:lncRNA from 1 species
CUCUGAUACCAUAUAGGAAGAAUAGAAAAGAAGAGAAAUAAUACGUUAUAGAAUAGAAACCCCCAUUGUGUUAUGGGUUGAUUACAUGGAAUAUAUAUAAAGAAAUAUUGCAAGGUAAUAGAGUUUGACUAGGUAACUAAAUCCUAACUAAUUUAGGUAACCGAAUCAUACUAGAAUCCUAAUAUUAGGAGAGUUCUAUAAUAUAAUAUUCUCUAACAAU